rnacentral:tRNA from 1 species
GCUAUUUUGGCAGAUUAGUGCAAUAAAUUUAGAAUUUAUUUAUGUAAAUAUUAUUACAAAUAGUA